CCUACGGGUGGCUGCAGUGAGGAAUAUUGGUCAAUGGCCGGAAGGCUGAACCAGCCAAGUCGCGUGAGGGACGACUGCCCUAUGGGUUGUAAACCUCUUUUAUAAGGGAAGAAUAAAUGCUACGUGUAGCAUGAUGCCUGUACCUUAUGAAUAAGCAUCGGCUAACUCCGUGCCAGCAGCCGCGGUAAUACGGAGGAUGCGAGCGUUAUCCGGAUUUAUUGGGUUUAAAGGGUGCGUAGGCGGGCUGUUAAGUCAGCGGUCAAAUGUCGGGGCUCAACCCCGGCCUGCCGUUGAAACUGGCGGCCUCGAGUGGGCGAGAAGUAUGCGGAAUGCGUGGUGUAGCGGUGAAAUGCAUAGAUAUCACGCAGAACUCCGAUUGCGAAGGCAGCAUACCGGCGCCCUACUGACGCUGAGGCACGAAAGCGUGGGUAUCGAACAGGAUUAGAUACCCUGGUAGUC
rnacentral:rRNA from 1 species